rnacentral:rRNA from 1 species
UAUUGCACAAUGGGCGAAAGCCUGAUGCAGCAACGCCGCGUGAGGGAUGACGGCCUUCGGGUUGUAAACCUCUUUUAGCAGGGAAGAAGCGAAAGUGACGGUACCUGCAGAAAAAGCGCCGGCUAACUACGUGCCAGCAGCCGCGGUAAUACGUAGGGCGCAAGCGUUAUCCGGAAUUAUUGGGCGUAAAGAGCUCGUAGGCGGUUUGUCGCGUCGGCUGUGAAAUCCCGAGGCUCAACCUCGGGUCUGCAGUGGGUACGGGCAGACUAGAGUGCGGUAGGGGAGAUUGGAAUUCCUGGUGUAGCGGUGGAAUGCGCAGAUAUCAGGAGGAACACCGAUGGCGAAGGCAGAUCUCUGGGCCGUUACUGACGCUGAGGAGCGAAAGGGUGGGGAGCAAACAGG